ACCGCACAAGCGGUGGAUGAUGUGGAUUAAUUCGAUGCAACGCGUAAAACCUUACCUACCCUUGACAUGUCCGGAAUCCCGAAGAGAUUUGGGAGUGCUCGCAAGAGAACCGGAACACAGGUGCUGCAUGGCUGUCGUCAGCUCGUGUCGUGAGAUGUUGGGUUAAGUCCCGCAACGAGCGCAACCCUUGUCAUUAGUUGCCAUCAUUUGGUUGGGCACUCUAAUGAGACUGCCGGUGACAAACCGGAGGAAGGUGGGGAUGACGUCAAGUCCUCAUGGCCCUUAUGGGUAGGGCUUCACACGUCAUACAAUGGUCGGUACAGAGGGUUGCCAACCCGCGAGGGGGAGCUAAUCCCACAAAGCCGAUCGUAGUCCGGAUCGCAGUCUGCAACUCGACUGCGUGAAGUCGGAAUCGCUAGUAAUCGUGGAUCAGCAUGUCACGGUGAAUACGUUCCCGGGUCUU
rnacentral:rRNA from 1 species